AUUAGAUUGGUGCAAAAGUAAUUGCAAUUGGGGACAUUACUUUUAAUGGUAAAAACUGCAAUUCCUUUUGUACCAACCUAAUAAUUA
rnacentral:miRNA from 1 species